rnacentral:rRNA from 1 species
AUUGAACGCUGGCGGCAGGCCUAACACAUGCAAGUCGAACGGUAACAGAAAGCAGCUUGCUGCUUUGCUGACGAGUGGCGGACGGGUGAGUAAUGUCUGGGAAACUGCCUGAUGGAGGGGGAUAACUACUGGAAACGGUAGCUAAUACCGCAUAACGUCGCAAGACCAAAGAGGGGGACCUUCGGGCCUCUUGCCAUCGGAUGUGCCCAGAUGGGAUUAGCUGGUAGGUGGGGUAACGGCUCACCUAGGCGACGAUCCCUAGCUGGUCUGAGAGGAUGACCAGCCACACUGGAACUGAGACACGGUCCAGACUCCUACGGGAGGCAGCAGUGGGGAAUAUUGCACAAUGGGCGCAAGCCUGAUGCAGCCAUGCCGCGUGUAUGAAGAAGGCCUUCGGGUUGUAAAGUACUUUCAGCGGGGAGGAAGGGAGUAAAGUUAAUACCUUUGCUCAUUGACGUUACCCGCAGAAGAAGCACCGGCUAACUCCGUG